GCCGAUGUAGCUCAAUGGUAGAGCAACGCUUUUGUAAAGCGUGGGUUGCGGGUUCGAGUCCCAUCAUCGGCUCCA
rnacentral:tRNA from 1 species